rnacentral:lncRNA from 1 species
UCUUAGGCUCCAGCAGUUUCUAUAUAUGUACUCUCUUUAGGGGCAAGCAAUUUUCUGAUGACCCAUUCUGUGUACCAGUUUAUCUGUUGGGGAAUUAAAGUAGGAGAUAGCAGAGUAGUACUCUUUGGCAUCAUUUAAAAGUAUAUUACCACAUAGCAAUGAACAAUGCUGUUUUCCCGAUUUCUUAAUACAAUACAUAAAACUUAUAAAAAAUUGAAACAUUAUAGAGCCAGCAACAAUUCCUCCCUGAGAUAAUCAUCCUAGCAGUUUUAUGUAUAGCCUUUCAAAUGCUUUUGCUUAUGUGUGCAUAAAAUUUUCUUUUUUUAAAAGAAUACAGAUACCUAAUCUGAAAAAAAUUUGUCAUUCUUAUACAAAUAGGAUACAUUACACAUAUCUUGCUCUAUGAGUUACUUUUUAUUUCUAUAACAAC